UACACGCUGUGACUAGCAUAUCAAUAAGCGGAGGAAAAGAAACUAACAAGGAUUCCCUCAGUAACGGCGAGUGAAGCGGGAAGAGCUCAAAUUUGAAAUCUUGAAAGGUCACCUUUCACGAAUUGUAGUUUAAAGAAGUGUUUUCUGUUACGAUCGUUAAUAUAAGUUCUUUGGAAUAGGACAUCACAGAGGGUGAGAAUCCCGUCUAUGAUUGCGAUUUGUAGCUUUGUGAUACACUUUCAAAGAGUCGGGUUGUUUGGGAAUGCAGCCCAAAACGGGAGGUAAAUUUCUUCUAAGGCUAAAUAUUGGCGAGAGACCGAUAGCGAACAAGUACCGUGAGGGAAAGAUGAAAAGAACUUUGGAAAAGAGAGUUAAAUAGUACGUGAAAUUGUCAAAAGGGAAGCGUUUAACACCAGUGUUGUUUUCUGAAAAUCAACCUCUGUUAGCUUUAUGCAUGUUUGUUUAGACCUAAUCAGCUAUCUUUCAUGUUCUAUUGUUUGCAGUGGUACACUUUUCAGUUUACAGGUCAACAUCAGUUUUUUUUACCGUAAAAAAGUUAAAGAAAGGUAGCUCAUGGCUCCGGUCGUGAGUGUUAUAGUCUUUUUCCUAUGCGGUAGGAGAGACUGAGGUCUGCAGUGUAGGCUAUUUGGCUAGAUACUCAGGUGCUAUGUGAUACCAUUUCAUAAACAACUUGUUGAUUAUGUUUUGUCUAUUGCAUACUCGCUUGUACUAUCAUACCUACGCUUAGGAUGUUGAGUAGCGACAUACGCAC
rnacentral:rRNA from 1 species